rnacentral:rRNA from 1 species
AUUGAACGCUGGCGGCAGGCCUAACACAUGCAAGUCGAGCGGAUGAAGGGAGCUUGCUCCUGGAUUCAGCGGCGGACGGGUGAGUAAUGCCUAGGAAUCUGCCUGGUAGUGGGGGAUAACGUCCGGAAACGGGCGCUAAUACCGCAUACGUCCUGAGGGAGAAAGUGGGGGAUCUUCGGACCUCACGCUAUCAGAUGAGCCUAGGUCGGAGUAGCUAGUUGGUGGGGUAAAGGCCUACCAAGGCGACGAUCGGUAACUGGUCUGAGAGGAUGAUCAGUCACACUGGAACUGAGACACGGUCCAGACUCCUACGGGAGGCAGCAGUGGGGAAUAGUGGACAAUGGGCGAAAGCCUGAUCCAGCCAUGCCGCGUGUGUGAAGAAGGUCUUCGGAUUGUAAAGCACGUUAAGUUGGGAGGAAGGGCAGUAAGUUAAUACCUUGCUGUUUUGACGUUACCAACAGAAUAAGCACCGGCUAACUUCGUG